ensembl:lncRNA
UGAUGAUCCCUGGUCUAGGGGACUACUACUUCCUCCCUGUCUGAAUCUAGUUGAUGAUCUCUGGUCUAGGGGACUACUACUUCCUCCCUGUCUGAAUCUAGUUGAUGAUCUCUGGUCUAGGGGACUACUACUUCCUCCCUGUCUGAAUCUAGUUGAUGAUCCCUGGUCUAGGGGACUACUACUUCCUCCCUGUCUGAAUCUAGUUGAUGAUCCCUGGUCUAGGGGACUACUACUUCCUCCCUGUCUGAAUCUAGUUGAUGAUCCCUGGUCUAGGGGACUACUACUUCCUCCCUGUCUGAAUCUAGUUGAUGAUCCCUGGUCUAGGGGACUACUACUUCCUCCCUGUCUGAAUCUAGUUGAUGAUCCCUGGUCUAGGAGACUACUUCCUUCCUGUCUGCUGUAACUGUGCCAAAAAUGGUCUGUCCCAAAUACCACCCUAUUCCCUAUAGUGUACUACUAAUGACCAGGGCCCUUGUAUAUAGGGUAUAGGGUGCCAUUUUGGACAGGUAUAGUCUCUGUGAAGCUUUAUAGUGGUGGUGAUAGUAUUUUUUCCCCCAUGUGACAGGUAGGCCUACAUUUACUGAGGCACAGCCUAGGCUACAGUAAUAUAAAGACUGAAUAAGCGUCUAAUUUACCCAUCUCUAGCUGGCUUUCAGGGGCACCUUGUUUUUUAAUUGUAAAGAUUUGUAAUUUGUAUUGCGGCUGCAGAGUUUUAAAACCACUUGUCACUCGAAUAUCGUUGCUUUAAAUCAACGAAAUAUUACGAAAGGUACGCCUGUUAAUUAUACGUAAGGCCCUAUUAUAUUACCAAAGUUAGAAUAAAAUCAGCUCGCCUCUAUACUAUAUAUAUAUAUAUAUAUAUAUAUAUAUACUAGCUGCAUGUCUCUUCCAACUGUAUCAUGGUUUGAACAAUGUGAGUAAUUCCAGUCCAUAUAAUAUACAUAUAUAAUAAUAUAUAAUAUAAUAUACAGUAUAAUACAGUACAGUAUAAUACAGUACAGUCAUACAGUUCACACUCCUAUUAUAUUACCAAAGUUAGAAUAAAAUCAGCUCGUCUCUACUAGCUGCAUGUCUCUUCCAACUGUAUCAUGGUUUGAACAAUGUGAGUAAUUCCAGUCCAUAUAAUAUACAGUAUAGUAAUACAGUAUAAUACAGUACAAUACAGUACAGUAUAAUACAGUAGUACAGUAAUACAGUAUAAUACACAGUAUAAUACAGUACAAUACAGUACAGUACAGUAGUACAGUAUAAUACAGUAGUACAGUAUAAUACAGUAUAAUACAGUACAGUAGUACAGUAAUACAGUAAUACAGUACAGUAUAAUACAGUACAGUAUACAGUACAGUAGUACAGUAUAAUACAGUAGUACAGUAUAAUACAGUAUAAUACAGUACAGUAGUACAGUAGUACAGUAAUACAGUACAGUAGUACAGUAUAAUACAGUACAGUCAUACAGUUCACACUCAACAAGCCUCCUGGAGCGAGUUUCAUUUAUUUACCCAACAGAGGACAUAGCUAGCUACAUCUAUGGGCUUUUCUGUUUUUCUGUCGCGCAGUAGCCUAUAUCAUAUAUGUAUUGGAUAACAGCACAAUAUUUUUGACUUUUUUGGGGCUUGGGCUCAUUAAAUAUCUUUUAAUGUAGGGCUCAUUAAAUGUCUUUAAUGUAGGGCUCAUUAAAUAUCUUUUAAUGUAGGGCUCAGUAAAUGUCUUUAAUGUAGGGCUCAUUAAAUGUCUUUAAUGUAGGGCUCAGUAAAUGUCUUUAAUGUAGGGCUCAUCAGGCUUGAAAUGUUUUAAUCAAAGCUCUAAUCAAAUCCAGACAGGCCUGUUUUUAUGCUCUGUAAUGCUUUUGAAGGACCGUUCCAGUUUGGACUGGAAAUACCAGUUUAGUCGGUAGGAAAGUGAUUUAUUCUCAGGAAGGAACAUUUAGUAAAAUACUGUGAAAAUAUUCACCCGUGAGCCAGAUGCCAGCAUUAGUUUGAAAGGCCUCCUGUGUAUUUUACUGGUUAGGUAGUAAAAUAUGAAGUCUAGUCGUUCUGCCACUGGUCGUUAUUACAGUCAAGAGCCAACUUUUAUUUGCUGUUUUCAUUUCUCAGAGGAAAGGUGAAGAUGUGUAAUGAAAAGGAGAGGAACUUUUCUUUCCCUCAGAACAAGACUAGAAUGGGGUGAGAUGGAUGUGUGUCUUUGGGGAGUUUCGUGAUAAUAAUCAGUGAUUGUUGUUAUUGAUCCUGAUAUGUACAUAUUGUUGUUGACAAGCUUGUUUGCACUGAAUCAGGACAUAUUGAAGGUACAGGGAAGUGCCUUUAGGAAUGAUCAAACUGUCUCUUCUACAGCUCUGUUUUAAAUCUGUUCUAGAAUGAUAGUUUCAGAACACCUCUAGAACAGCUCAGUUUUAACUCUGUUCUAGAAUGAUAGUUUCAGAACACCUCUAGAACAGCUCAGUUUUAACUCUGUUCUAGAAUUAUAGUUUCAGAACACCUCUAGAACAGCUCAGUUUUAAAUCUGUUCUAGAAUGAUAGUUUCAGAACACCUCUAGAAC